rnacentral:lncRNA from 1 species
GACGACGCACACACUACCAUGCAAGCGUAUAAUAGCGUACACGACGGCGGAGAGAGAUCUUAUUCAUCAGUCAACUCAUACAUGUAUAGGUAUGUAGCGACGGUGGAGGCAGGCAGGAUUCGGAGCGGUGGAAUGGAUCAUAGAUCCGGCGGUCGUUUAGCUCACCCUGCAGCAUGAAGCAAGAAUCAGUAUAUGCAUUUCAUGCAUGCAGUGAUUAAUUUAAUUACGUGCUGGUUGAAGCAAAAUUAAAGUCGAAGAUAUGGAUGAUUGAUCGAGGUGUUAAUUACCUGGAGCAGUCGGUGGAGGUGCUGAUGGAGUAUGGGAUGCUGACGCCGCACUUGGAUGGGAUGCUGGCGGCGUUGCCGGCGUUGAGUCCGCUGAUCCCCCUGGCGGCGUUCUUGAGGCAGUUGCAGGCGGCGCGCCUGUCGGCGGUGGUCCUGGCGGCGGAGUUGAGGCUCCUGACGCCGUUGCAGCAGCCGGCGGAGGGGGCGGAGCCCUGGCCGCGGGCGUAAGGGAGGCACUGGCCGAUGGCGGAGUUGACCUGGCCGCAGCUGAUGGCGGCCUCGGAGGCCGCCGCGGCGAGCAGCACCGCGGCCACGACGGCGAGCACCACCACCUGAGCGCGAGCCAUGCUGAUGUGCGUGUUCCUGUGCUAGCUGCUAGCUGCGCUGUGGUCGAUGGAUCGGAUGUGCUCUACAAGCUGCUUGGGAAGAAUGUGCUUUGCUUUGCUG